AGUUCACCUUUUUGGUUACCAUUUACCAUAAUCAUUUUGUUCAAUUCCUAUGUUCUUCUUGGUUCCUACUUAUGGCUACUUUCCUCUUUUUUC
rnacentral:sRNA from 1 species